rnacentral:rRNA from 1 species
CCUACGGGCGGCAGCAGUGGGGAAUAUUGCACAAUGGGGGAAACCCUGAUGCAGCGACGCCGCGUGAGUGAAGAAGUAAUUCGUUAUGUAAAGCUCUAUCAGCAGGGAAGAAAAUGACGGUACCUGAGUAAGAAGCCCCGGCUAACUACGUGCCAGCAGCCGCGGUAAUACGUAGGGGGCAAGCGUUAUCCGGAUUUACUGGGUGGAAAGGGGGCGUAGACGGGAGUGCAAGUCAGUAGUGAAAGGCGGGGGCUUAACCCUGGGACUGCUGUGGAAACUGUACGGCUGGAGUGCAGGAGAGGUAAGUGGAAUGCCUAGUGUAGAGGUGAAAUGCGUAGAUAUUAGGAGGAACACCAGUGGCGAAGGCGGCUUACUGGACUGUAACUGACGUUGAGGCUCGAAAGCGUGGGGAGCAAACAGGAUUAGAUACCCGGGUAGUC